UCUCAGGAAAGAGUCCCCCUACA
rnacentral:miRNA from 1 species